GUACACUCCUACGGGAGGCAGCAGUGGGGAAUUUUGGACAAUGGGCGAAAGCCUGAUCCAGCAAUGCCGCGUGAGUGAAGAAGGCCUUCGGGUUGUAAAGCUCUUUUGUCAGGGAAGAAACGGUGAGAGCUAAUAUCUUUUGCUAAUGACGGUACCUGAAGAAUAAGCACCGGCUAACUACGUGCCAGCAGCCGCGGUAAUACGUAGGGUGCAAGCGUUAAUCGGAAUUACUGGGCGUAAAGCGUGCGCAGGCGGUUUUGUAAGUCUGAUGUGAAAUCCCCGGGCUCAACCUGGGAAUUGCAUUGGAGACUGCAAGGCUAGAAUCUGGCAGAGGGGGGUAGAAUUCCACGUGUAGCAGUGAAAUGCGUAGAUAUGUGGAGGAACACCGAUGGCGAAGGCAGCCCCCUGGGUCAAGAUUGACGCUCAUGCACGAAAGCGUGGGGAGCAAACAGGAUUAGAUACCCCAGUAGUCCCAUGA
rnacentral:rRNA from 1 species